rnacentral:rRNA from 1 species
GGUUAGUGGCGAACGGGUGAGUAACACGUGAGUAACCUGCCCCCCUCUUUGGGAUAACUGAGAGAAAUUGUAGCUAAUACCGAAUAUUCACUGAUGGCCGCAUGGUUGUGGGUGGAAAGAUUUUUUGGUGGGGGAUGGGCUCGCGGCCUAUCCGCUUGUUGGUGGGGUGAUGGCCUACCAAGGCUUUGACGGGUACCCGGCCUGAGAGGGUGACCGGCCACACUGGGACUGAGAUACGGCCCAGACUCCUACGGGAGGCAGCCUGGGGAAUAUUGCACGUGGGCGAAAGCCUGAUGCACCACGCGCGUGCGUGAUGACGGUCUUCGCGUUGUCAACCGCUUUCCCCAAGGGCGAAUGGACACCUUCCUGGGGAAGAACCUCCUGCUAACUACCUGCCACCA